rnacentral:rRNA from 1 species
AUUGAACGCUGGCGGCAGGCCUAACACAUGCAAGUCGAGCGGAUGAAGGGAGCUUGCUCCUGGAUUCAGCGGCGGACGGGCGAGUAAUGCCUAGGAAUCUGCCUGGUAGUGGGGGAUAACGUCCGGAAACGGGCGCUAUACCGCAUACGUCCUGAGGGAGAAAGUGGGGGAUCCUCGGACCCCACGCUAUCAGAUGAGCCUAGGUCGGAUUAGCUAGUUGGUGGGGUAAAGGCCUACCAAGGCGACGAUCCGUAACUGGUCUGAGAGGAUGAUCAGUCACACUGGAACUGAGACACGGUCCAGACUCCUACGGGAGGCAGCAGUGGGGAAUAUUGGACAAUGGGCGAAAGCCUGAUCCAGCCAUGCCGCGUGUGUGAAGAAGGUCUUCGGAUUGUAAAGCACUUUAAGUUGGGAGGAAGGGCAGUAAGUUAAUACCUUGCUGUUUUGACGUUACCAACAGAAUAAGCACCGGCUAACUUCGUG